CCUACGGGUGGCAGCAGUGGGGAAUAUUGGACAAUGGGCGAAAGCCUGAUCCAGCCAUGCCGCGUGUGUGAAGAAGGCCUUCGGGUUGUAAAGCACUUUUAGUGGGGAAGAAAGCCUUGGGGCUAAUACCCUCGAGGAAGGACAUCACCCACAGAAGAAGCACCGGCUAACUCCGUGCCAGCAGCCGCGGUAAUACGGAGGGUGCGAGCGUUAAUCGGAAUUACUGGGCGUAAAGCGCGCGUAGGCGGUCUGAUAAGCCGGUUGUGAAAGCCCCGGGCUCAACCUGGGAACGGCAUCCGGAACUGUCAGGCUAGAGUGCAGGAGAGGAAGGUAGAAUUCCCGGUGUAGCGGUGAAAUGCGUAGAGAUCGGGAGGAAUACCAGUGGCGAAGGCGGCCUUCUGGACUGACACUGACGCUGAGGUGCGAAAGCGUGGGUAGCAAACAGGAUUAGAUACCCGAGUAGUC
rnacentral:rRNA from 1 species